rnacentral:rRNA from 1 species
AACGAACGCUGGCGGCAGGCUUAACACAUGCAAGUCGAACGGGUGUAGCAAUACAUCAGUGGCAGACGGGUGAGUAACACGUGGGAACCCUCCUAGAGGUACGGAACAACUCAGGGAAACUUGAGCUAAUACCGUAUACGCACGUGAGAGGAAAGAUUUAUCGCCUUUAGACGGGCCCGCGUCGGAUUAGCUAGUUGGUGAGGUAACGGCUCACCAAGGCGACGAUCCGUAGCUGAUCUGAGAGGAUGAUCAGCCACACUGGAACUGAGACACGGUCCAGACUCCUACGGGAGGCAGCAGUGGGGAAUCUUGGACAAUGGGCGCAAGCCUGAUCCAGCCAUGCCGCGUGAGUGAAGAAGGCCUUCGGGUUGUAAAGCUCUUUUGUCAGGGACGAUAAUGACGGUACCUGAAGAAUAAGCCCCGGCAAACUUCGUGCCAGCCGCCGCCGUAA